rnacentral:lncRNA from 1 species
UUUGUUUAGCGUAAAUUUUGCGUUCGGCGAGGUAGAGGGAGACCUAAGAGGUAUUGGGGGAGGUGAUUAGGCAUGACAUGACUAGAAUGCGGGUUUCCGACGACAUGACCCUUGAUAGGAAAGUCUGGAGGUCUAGUAUCAGGGUUGUAAGAUAGGGCUCCUAGAGUUUUUGGUACUCCUCACCCGGGGUUGGGUGAGGCUUGACAGGGCUAUCCAUAGAAAAUUUGUGUUUUGGCUUGUAUCUCCCUUAUGGUAGUUAUUUAUGAAAGUUACUGUAUUAUAUUAUUGCAUGCUAUUUUAUUAUAUUUCUUAUGUUUAGAUAAUUAUUUACGCUAUUUCUGCUAGAGUUACUAAUGCUCUUUUGUUUUUGUUUUUGUUUUUUUCUUUCCUUUCCUUCAAUGAGCCGAGGAUCGAU